AAAGGUUAACCGGCCUUAACCCAAGGCCAACCGAUGCCAAUAACCCGACCCUGAGAAGGGUUGAUCCGGCCCACCAACUUGGGAAACUUGGAGACCACCGGUUCCCAGACUUCCUUACCGGGGAGGCCAACCAAGUAAGGGGAAAUCCUUUCCCGCCAAAUGGGGCCGGAAAAGCCCUGGACCGGAGCCAACCGCCCGCGUGAGUGAUGAAGGGUUCUUUCGGGAAUCGUAAAACUCUGUUAAUAGGGGAAAGACAAUAUGUGGUAAGUAAACUGUGCCACCAUCNUGAUGGGUACCUAAUCAGAAAAGCCACGGCUAACUACGUGCCAGCAGCCGCGGUAAUACGUAGGUGCCAAGCGUUAUCCGGAAUUAUUGGGGCGUAAAGCGCGCGUAGCGGUUUUUUAAGUCUGAUGUGAAAGCCCACGGCUCAACCGUGGAGGGUCAUUGGAAACUGGAAAACUUGAGUGCAGAAGAGGAAAGUGGAAUUCCAUGUGUAGCGGUGAAAUGCGCAGAGAUAUGGAGGAACACCAGUGGCGAAGGCGACUUUCUGGUCUGUAACUGACGCUGAUGUGCGAAAGCGUGGGGAUCAAACAGGAUUAGAUACCCUGGUAGUCCACGCCGUAAACGAUGAGUGCUCACAGUGUUAGGGGUUUCCGCCCCUUAGUGCUGCAGCUAACGCAUUAAGCACUCCGCCUGGG
rnacentral:rRNA from 1 species